AGGCAUGCAAGUUGAGCGUACCCAGCAAUGGGGAGCAGCGUAAGGGGCAGUAAGGUAUGGGUAUCUACCCAGGGAUCGGGCAUAGCCUGUAGAGAUACAGGGUAAUUCCCGAUGAUGUCGCAAGACCAAAGCUCCGGCGUCCCUGGAGGAGCCCAUAUGGUAUUAGCUAGUUGGUGGGGUAACGGCCCACCAAGGCGAAGAUGCCUAGCGGGUGUGAGAGCACGACCCGCGCCACUGGCACUGAGACACUGGCCUGACACCUACGGGUGGCUGCAGUCGAGGAUCUUCGGCAAUGGGCGCAAGCCUGACCGAGCGAGGCCGCGUGGGCGAUGAAGGCCUUCGGGUUGUAAAGCCCUGUCGAGGGGGAGAAAAGCCGCAAGGCGUGAUCUAUCCCUGGAGGAAGCACGGGCUAAGUUCGUGCCAGCAGCCGCGGUAAGACGAACCGUGCGAACGUUGUUCGGAAUCACUGGGCUUAAAGGGCGCGUAGGCGGGCUAUCAAGUCCGGGGUGAAAUCCUCCAGCUCAACUGGAGAACGGCCUCGGAUACUGAUGGUCUCGAGGAGGAUAGGGGCACACGGAACUGUGGGUGGAGCGGUGAAAUGCGUUGAUAUCCAUAGGAGCUCCGGUGGCGAAAGCGGUGUGCUGGAUCCUUUCUGACGCUGAGGCGCGAAAGCCAGGGGAGCAAACGGGAUUAGAUACCCCGGUAGUCCUGGCCCUAAACGUUGGGUACUAGGUAGUAGACUUGACAUGGGUUUACUUCCGAAGCAAAAGUGCUAAGUACCCCGCCUGGGGAGUAUGGUCGCAAGGCUGAAACUCAAAGGAAUUGACGGGGGCUCACACAAGCGGUGGAGCAUGUGGCUUAAUUCGAGGCAACGCGAAGAACCUUACCUGGGUUUGACAUGUGCGAAAGCGGUGGGGGGUAGAACCCGGAAACGGGAACGAACGGUAUCCAAUCCGGAACCCAUCACAGGUGCUGCAUGGCUGUCGUC
rnacentral:rRNA from 1 species